rnacentral:lncRNA from 1 species
UCGAAUACAAAAGUUGACACUUGACAUGAAAAUGUUGGGAAGAAAUUUGAAAGUUUAACAAAUACAAUAUAACAAUAAAAAUAAACGGUUUCAAUACACAUAAAUUAAGAUGUUUCACAUAAAAACUAUUUUGUAACAAAACUAAAAGAAAAUUCGUUGAAGAAGAAACAUAAAAAGUAAAAAAAAAUGAAAACUAACAAAUAAAACUUGAACACGAAUAAGACAACCAUAACUUAAAUGAAUGAAGGUGGCGAGAGAAAC